CAGUCGCCACGGUAAUACGGAGGAUCCAAGCGUUAUCCGGAUUUAUUGGGUUUAAAGGGUGCGUAGGUGGCCUGUUAAGUCAGGGGUGAAAGACGGUAGCUCAACUAUCGCAGUGCCCUUGAUACUGAUGGGCUUGAAUGAACUAGAGGUAGGCGGAAUGUGACAAGUAGCGGUGAAAUGCAUAGAUAUGUCACAGAACACCAAUUGCGAAGGCAGCUUACUAUGGUUUGAUUGACACUGAGGAGCGAAAGCGUGGGGAGCGAACAGGAUUAGAUACCCCAGUAGUCCCUGUCUCUUAUAC
rnacentral:rRNA from 1 species